GCAAUGAAAUCUGAUUCUACUUCCGCUAUUUCUGGUGCUUUUAGUUCUUCAUUCAGUCGUGGCCGUAGUUGCGGUCGUGAUUCUGGGUACAAUGAUCGGGUUUUUGACCAUUUAGUUGGUGGUGUGAUAGCUACUCCCUUCGUGUCUACAAGUGCUCAGUUAGCUGACAUGUUUACUAAGUCAUUGUUCAAGCCCCGGUUAGAGUUGUUAUGUAGCAAGCUGGGACUUUGUGAUAUCUAUUCUCCAGCUUGAGGGAGAGUGUUGGAAUAUUUAAGUAGUUGUUUUGAGUCUUGUCCCACAUUGGUUAAACAAGUCUUGUAACAAGUUAUCUCUUAAUAUAAAUAAUAGUUAUUUGUGUUAGGGUUAAUUAACACCCUAUACACUUUUUCUCA